rnacentral:rRNA from 1 species
GAGCGAACGCUGGCGGCAGGCUUAACACAUGCAAGUCGAGCGGGCGUAGCAAUACGUCAGCGGCAGACGGGUGAGUAACGCGUGGGAACGUACCUUUUGGUUCGGAACAACACCAGGGAAACUUGUGCUAAUACCGGAUAAGCCCUUACGGGGAAAGAUUUAUCGCCGAAAGAUCGGCCCGCGUCUGAUUAGCUAGUUGGUGAGGUAACGGCUCACCAAGGCGACGAUCAGUAGCUGGUCUGAGAGGAUGAUCAGCCACAUUGGGACUGAGACACGGCCCAAACUCCUACGGGAGGCAGCAGUGGGGAAUAUUGGACAAUGGGCGCAAGCCUGAUCCAGCCAUGCCNNNUGAGUGAUGAAGGCCCUAGGGUUGUAAAGCUCUUUUGUGCGGAAGAAUAAUGACGGUA